rnacentral:lncRNA from 10 species
AUCCUGGGUUCAGCUUCCCCUGUGAGAAGGACACAUAUAACAAUAAGAAAUUAAGGGUUCGGGAAGGAGAGGGGCCACCCUGUGCUCACCCCCACACAGCCCUGCAGGAAAACCCAGUGAACGGUGCCCAGGUGCCUGGCUGACUCCUGGGCCGGGAGGGGACAUGGAGGGACAGUGGCCAUCAGGCUCUUUGUGGACACUGGGGAUUAACUACUGCUCGUUCUCAGCUCACUGGUGUCCAGCCCAUCAAUAACCUCAUCAAUAACCUAACUUUGGUCAAUUAGGUUGGAGUCCGAAGGUGACUGAUUUGCGGCAAGGUUUUCUCUCUUCCUCUGUAAAGUGGAGUCCUUCAUCAUUCAUCGCAAGUAGACAACUCGCUUCCUAAUGCCUCUGCAUUAAGGAGCCAGGCGCUGCAGCUCUUUGGUACGUGACCUCAAAUAGAUUCAUGCGUCCUUCUGCUGACACGCUCCUGGGAAAUCCAGAAACUCUAGAGAAGCUUGUUUGCCAAACCUUGCUUUGGGCGGUGGAGACAGAAUAUCAUGUCCCAGAUCAGCGUGUGGUGACUGUGGAGGCAUUUACACACAGCACACUCCAGCUCUGCCACUGGGCCGGCUGAGGUGGCUGCGGUACACGGCGCCCAUCCUGAGCCCCAGGUUCCUCACAUGUCAACAGCAUGAAAAGUGCCUCUAAGACAUCCACAGGUGUGCAGUGUUAAAGCAGGCAGCGCCUCAGCUUGGUUAGCUCCCUUAAGGACUGCGGCUCCCUUAGGACAAGGCUCUGUCCCUCAGAGCACUGAGUGCGAUCUCAUGCUGGCAUCUUAGAGACAUUGUAUUCACCAGGUAAGAUGGAUUCACAUCUGCUGGGUGCACGAACACUUCCUCCUUCCUUGCCACCAGCCAGCAUCACAACCAGCCUGGCCAGGCUCCCGUCCCAGCCCAGCCUAGCAGCUAACCCCAGCUCCAUCCCCCAGCAAGCCCCUCUGCCUGCACCUCAGCUUCUUCAUGGAAGACGAGUCAGGUCAUGAUGCCACCAGGGAGCGUGUUUCCAUGUUGAACUGAGACACUAAGCCCUUGACAAAUGUUGGCCAAGAAAAAAAAGGGGCUCCAAGAGGGGAGCUGUGGCUCAGGUAGAAGACGGUGAAUGAGCAUUGCCUGAAUCAGAGUUAGCUACUCUGGUUACACAGGUGUCCCCGGCAGGUUGGUCAAAAGCCCUUCCCUGAGUCCCGUGAUAAGUGUGGGGAGGGAGGCAAAUCAAAGACCCCUACACACCUCCUGCAUGGAUGGCCAGAGCGCUGGUCCCACCUCCUUCCUUCCAAACUGCAACCCCGAUCAGCACAGCAGAGAAGUCUCCUGUGGCAGGGACCAGUAAUUCAGUGCUUCCCCUGGAGAGUCUGGGAUUGCACAGAACACCAGAGGCUGGGGAUUUAUUUGUUCACCAACAUUCAUUCAACAAACACUUACUGAGGCCAACACUGGGAAUGGAGACGAACUUCCCUGUCCUCAUGGAGCUUGCUUUCAAAAGGGAAGGAGGCAGACAGUAAACAAAACAAGCAAGUCAAUAUACAGCAUGAUGCAGAAAAGGUGUGAUGCCACCCUCUUGCCUGAGUUUAUAACAAGCAGAUGAUGUUGUCCUAAGAAUUAAUUUCAGCCGGUGAAAGAGUACAGGCAAAAAACGUGGUCUCGGACUUUCCGGUGAUGCUUAAGAACAUAGUUGCAGUUUUUGUUCUGAUUCUUUGUGCAUCUCGCGCUAAUGAAGGAUUCUGCCAUGAUUGCCACCUCUGGAGACGUCACAGCCAGCACAGCCAUGACCAGGGAUGAACUUGGCCAUUGUCCAGCAGCACCAUGGGAGGACCAGCUGCUGUAAGUGAAGGUCAUCAUCCAUCUGAUUUGCUGGCUUUUUGCAACUACUGCGGUGGAAGUCUUAGAGUAGCCACCUUCUCUGUACUCAGACCUUCACUUCGCCAGAUGUCAGCACAGCAGUGUCAGCAGCUUCGUCAAACACAAACACCACCACCUCUCUGGAUCAGAAGCACAUGGAAAGCCCACCUUGCAAGAAGACCCAGCUAUUCCAAAAGUACCCAUAUCCCUGUAGCAUCCUCUUAGCUGAAUGUCUCUACUCCUUAAACUUGUACCACUUUGAAGAGUAAAAAUUUAAAUUCAUUCAUAUUAUCAUUUUUUAGUUUUUAGUAUAAGUGGAGCUGUUUAUCGGCCAUUUGUAUGUCCUUUUCUUUUUUUUGCAAAUUACUCCUUUGCCAAAUUUUCUCUCAAAUGACUCAUCUUUUUCUUAUUGAUUUGCAGAAGCUAUUUACAUAUUAUGGAUGUGGGGUGUCUAACAUACACAGCAAAUACUUUGUCCCAGUGUGUCACUUUUUAAAAAAAUUCUUAUAAUGUCUUUCAUCUUUAAAAAAUUAUUAAGCUAUUGUGAGCUUUUAUGCCUUUUCAGUUUAUUUUCUUACAUAGAUAAUUAUAUGAAGUGCAAAUAGGGGCAGUGUUAGUCUCAUCUUCCCAAGGCUGCACCUCAGAUGUGGAAUGUUGACAGCAACAUCUGUUACCUUGUUUCUGUUUUUAGGAUUUUAGCGUUAAGGCCAGGCAUAAUGGUUCAUGCCUGUAAUUCCAGCACUUUGGGAGGCCGAGGUGGGCAGAUCACUUGAAGCCAGGAGUUCAAGACCAGCCUGGCCAACAUGGAGAAACCCUCUCUAUUUUUAAAUACAUUUAAAAUGUUAACAAUUAAAACAAAAUAUUUUACCGUUAGUAUGAUGCUUGAUACAGGAUUUCUGGUACAUACGCCUUAUCAAAUUAAAUAAGUUUCCUUUUACUCUUGUUUAUUGUUAUUUUUUAAAAUAAGGAAUGAAUCUUGGAUUUUAGUGUAUCAAUAAUUAUAUUUUAUUCUUUAACUUCAUAAUAUUCCUUAUAAUUCCUUAUGUCAUAUUAAAGAUGUAAAUUCAUAUAUAUUUUAUCAUACAAAUGAUUAAUAAAUGUAUAAGCAUGUCAUUAUAUGAGAGUAUACUUCCUUAUGUUUCAUGAAUGCAUCGUGACAGGCUCAUUUUUUUAAUCACUGCUCGAUUUGUGCCACUGAUGUUUUAUGAGGCCUAUUUAUGUCGGCGAUGGUAAGAGUGUUAGUGUUUCCUCUGUGGGUACCUUCAUCUACCGUGAGUCUCCUGGAUAUGCUAGCAUCACAGAAUGGCAGGCGGAAAUUUCCAGCUUUUUCUAUAGAAUGAGUUUAACACAGAAAAUAGAUCUUUCUUGAAAAUGUGGUAACACUUACCUGGAAACCUCCCUGGCCUAGUGCCUCUUUUCUUGGGGCUAAAGGGUAUGAAAAUGGGUAGAUCUCCAAAUGCCUUUUCCAUUUUUCUAUGAAUAUUAUUCCUACUCAGGCUUUUCUCUUCUUGGAACAAUGCUGCUAACUUGUGCCUACUUGGCUAUUUCUACUUCAUGUAUAUUUUCAAAUCCAUUGGUGUGCAAGUGGACUUAGUAUGUUCUUGCAAGCGUAAGAGUCUCCAUUAGUGUAAUGACCUUCUCUCUUUCUGUUUUCCUUGAGCAAUUAACAUAUAUUUGUCUUAUUUUAUUGGUCUUCUCAAAAGAAUAUGCUUUUGAGUUAUUGAUCACCUGUACCAUGUGUUCUAUCACACUAUUCUGUGUUUACUCAAGCUCGUUAAUUGAUAUUCAAAUCCCUGUAUUUUGUCAAUUUCUGUUAGAUGCUAGUAUUAAAAAUUUUUUAUAUAACCG